CCUUCUUCAGACGCGACCUGUGAGGAAAAGGUUGACCCUUGAACAUCACUUUAACGACAGUCUUAUUCUGGAGUUUACAUUUGCUGCCAUUUUCUUGUUUUUAGUUCACGGAAUAUAUGUACUAUAUUGUAUUCCGACUGUAGUGUGAAAAUGGACUUUUAUUUCAUUUGAAUAAUUUGAUUGUUAUUAGUUAUGUUGUCCUCUUUAUUAUACAUGUAGAUGAAUUGUUUAUUUAUAUUGUAUUUCAUUAUUUUAUGUAUUAUGAUUCUUGUUAACCUUAUCAUUUGUUGUAAAGAUCCAUGUGGGUGAAUUGUCUAUAAUUAUUUUUUAAUUGUGAUGUAUUUUAAUGUAAGUACAUUAUUAUUGCAGUGUUCAGAUUGACUGUAAUUUCAUUUAAAUAAUUGUAAUGUGUAUUCUGCUGUUUUUCUUUAUGAUCCAUUUGUGUAAAUUAUUAUGAUCAGUAUAUUUGUGUACUUUUUAAAUUGAAUUUAAUGAUUGUUAUUCAUCAUGUGUGUAAAUAUAUUAUUUUUUAUUUCAUUUUAGGGGGAACCAAAAGCCAAGAUGUCGAAACUUUAUCAGAUUUUAAACGUGCAUAUUGUAUUGUGGUGAUUUGCCAUUAUACCCACGCGGAACCAAAUGUUGGUUGAUGGGUUUCACACGUUGGUUCGUAUGUGCCGGACUUCCAGUUCGUUUUUACGGGUUCUUCGUAAACUCGAUAUAUUCCAUAAAGCGUAAUACUCAGCCUUCGUCCCCACCACUAUAGUCGUAUUUAACAGCUGUUAUUUACUUAAAUAUACAACGUAUUUAUCCUAAAAAAAAAAUACGUUGAAAACAUUUCCUCUACUCACACGUUGGGUUGUGCGUGCCGGACUUCCGGUUCUCUUCCGGGUUCUUGGUAGGCUCGAUUCAUUCAAUAAAGAGUUCUACUCCGCCUUCGCCACCACUAGAGUUUUAUUUAACAGCUGUGUUAUUUACUUAAAUCCCGGACUACGAGCUACGAAAAAAAACAUUGUUGAACACGCUGCGCCGACUGUUUUUUUUUUUGCUCACGGCAAGCUGAUACCGAUAGUCGACGAGGCCGUGCGUGCAAGGAUGCUGAGGAGGGAGCGAAGUACUCAGGCAAUGUCUUUUUUCCCCCCUUUUCUGUCGCUUUUGCGUGUUACAAAACAACAUCGUCCUAUGUCGUUCGCAGUCGCACCUUUACUCCCAGCUGCUAUAACGACUGUAUGAGGAAUUUUAGAGUUAACAUUUUUUUUCUUUUUUUUUUGUCUCCAACUUCAGGAUCAACUUUCCUUCUCCUCCAUCUUAAUAGCAAUCCGGUUGAAUGUUUUUGCGUAUCAAUUUUCUAAAUUUGUCACAAUAUAUAUAUAUUUUUUGGUGGGUAGUGCGUGCAUUUUAAGUGUUUGACUUCAUAAGCCGUCAUAAAGUUCUGAAACGGGCACCUGUAAUCUGAUGUUACACGUUUUAUUCCUUUUUCUUUUUUUGUUUUGGUUUUUUUCAUUUUAGGAAACGCAUGGAGUUUUGCGAUGUGUGAAGAAAACGGGCACCAUUUCGGCAACCGAUGUGUGGAUUGUGGAAAAAAGGACACCGAACCCAACCGCAGAUAUUUCAGCGAAAGAGGAACCCAUAGAAUCAAAUGUUUCCACGGUUAAGACGGAAGAAAAACCUGUGAACACAACUUCAGAUAUUUCAGCGAAAGAGGAACCCCUAGAAUCAAAUGUGCCUUCGCUUCCGACUGAAGAAAAAUAUAUGAUUUCAAGAGCAGCGCAAACAGACGCUCUACCGGACAAACCGAUAUUGUGCACUGGAUGUCUCAAGCCUAUGAACUUUGAUUCUCCGAAAGAUAUUCGCAUACAGAAUGCUUGCACCUGAGUGGGAAGGAAUUUGAAAUAGUUAUUUCUAGCUUAUUAAGCUACAAAUAUGCUGGUAAAUAAAUGUUGGGGUAAAUGUGGCAAACUAAAACGUGUGCCGCCGCCGCCACCUUCAUUUCUAGCAACGAGUAGCUACGCAUUUGAUUUCAUUAGCUCUGUGUACAAAAAGCUACAGUAUAAAAUAUGAUCAUAAACGUCAUCAUCUACAGUUUUGAGUGGAUCUUUUCCACAUUAAGAACUUGGCGUAGAACAAUUUUAGGACAUCUGGAUUCGACAUCGGGACACGCAAGGCACACCGGAUUGCGUCAUCAUCUCUGGAAACAAGUCCCGCCCCUUGCAACGCACUCACGGCACACCGAGACGAUGAUUAUUAUUUGAAAUAUAUAUUAUUGCAGCAUUGUAAUUGAAAAUACUAAUUUCUCGUGAGCUGAUCUAAAAAAAUAAAAUUAAAUGAUGUACACCAAAGGCCCAUCUCUCAAAAAUUGUUCGCAAAUUUGUCUCAAUACGUUUUGGGGAGUACGUCUCAUUGGUCGAGUUAAUCCAGCUCGAUGCAGUAAAACUGCACAUUUUAGAGAGUAGCUUUGGAUUGCGGGCGGCCGAAGGAAGGCACACGUGCGAGAAGCAAGCGUGCCGUUUCAUCGGCAUUUUGAUGUGACACACCAAUGAGGUGGAUGAAUUAUCUUGGCAAAGGAGAAGUGCUCACCAACACCGAUUUAGACAAAUUUGUCAACAAUAUUUCAGAGCAAUAUAUCUGUAAAUAAAGCUAAUUGAUUGAUUUAUGGAAAACAAAUCAACCAGUCGUAACCAGUAGACGCUGUGACGUGGUCGUACCUUAGCAGAGGGAUUUCGGCCAGCGAGAUCUGCAGCUUGGCCUCUUUGGUCUUGGCGUUACAGCGGAAGAUGUGCAGCACCAGCGAGUAUCGGUCAAACACCUUCACCCCCCACGCGUCCUCCAGCUCCCUCUGGAGGACGAUACACACGUUUGGCGUACUUUAGCGUUCAGAUUUUGUCUGCUUCAGCACCGCAAAAUGAAUGCCAAUAAAAAAAAAAGAAAAAGAAAAUUACUACUUUCUUUACAAUUUCUUUGACAAUGAAUUAACAACCAAAUAUUUAAUGAAAAAAAAAUUUAAUGUACAUAAAAUAGUUUUACUAUUUUUCACUUUGUUUACAAAAAUUGGUAAAGUAAUAUAUGAAAUGUUUUAUUUUCCAUUCAAAUUAAUUUAAUGAUUAAAAAUCAAUAAAUUAACCAAUUAUUUAAUUUGAUAAAUACAGUUAUUUUCAUUUGUCAAUUUUAUCAAAAAAAAAAAAAAAAAAAUCAGAAUUAAUGUCAGUAAAACACACAUGAAUCCUCCCUACCUUAGCUUUUGGCCAAUUCAAAGCUCUGAUAUGAUGGCGACAUAUCCCAUAAACACGACAUCCCUGAACGUGCACCGGGAAAAACGUCUCCCCAAUAAGUGGUCUUCGGGACCCAGCAAGUUUUCGAACCCGUUUAGCACCCACGGAGAAAGACCGUAAGAGACGACCUUACCUCGGACAACGGCGAGAGACGCUCCACGUUGACCAAAACGGCGGUGACGCCCGCCGUCCGUCUGAUCUUCUCUACACGGUGAUAAGGAAGACGAUGAGCUCGUCCACCACCGACCACUUGUCCAGCGUGUUGACCAGAGCCACGGCCUCGGCCAUCAUCAGCUCGGCUGCGAGGUGCUGCUUCCUGCUUCCCCACUUGACAUCCGGGUGGACCACAAAGACCCGGUGUUGGCCCCCUGCCAGAGCCGUGGGGGGCUGCAGCUCCCGGAAGAGCUCGUCCGCCUCCUGCUCCUCCAUUGAGUCUUCUUCCUCA